rnacentral:rRNA from 1 species
AGAGUUUGAUCAUGGCUCAGGGUGAACGCUGGCGGCAUGCCUAACACAUGCAAGUCGAUCGGUAAGGUCCUUCGGGAUACACGAGAGGCGGACGGCUGAGUAACGCAUGGGAACGCACCCUACACUGAGGGAUAAGAUGCCGAAAGGUGUUCUAAUACCGCAUGUGGUCUUCGGAUUAAAGUAUUUAUACGGUGAAGGAGCGGCCUGUGUCAUAUUAGGUAGUUGGUGAGGUAAUGGCUCACCAAGCCAACGAUGUGUAGCUGGUCUUAGAGGAUGAUCAGCCAGACUGGAACUGAGAACGGUCCAGACUCCUACGGGAGGCAGCAGUGAGGAAUCUUCCACAAUGGGCGAAAGCCUGAUGGAGCAAUGCCGCGUGCAGGAUGAAGGCCUUCGGGUUGUAAACUGCUUUUAUUAGAGAAGAAUAUGACGGUAACUAAUGAAUAAGGGACGGCUAACUACGUGCCAGCAGCCGCGGUCAUACGUAGGUCCCAAGCGUUAUCCGGAGUGACUGGGCGUAAAGAGUUGCGUAGGCGGUUAAAUAAGUGGGUGAUGAAAUCUAUUGGCUCAACCGGUAGACUGUUAUCCAAACUGUUUGACUUGAGAGUAUCAGAGGUCGCUGGAAUUCCUAGUGUAGCAGUGAAAUGCGUAGAUAUUAGGAAGAACACCGAUGGCGUAGGCAGGCGACUGGGGUACUUCUGACGCUAAGGCACGAAAGCGUGUGUAGCGAACCGGAUUAGAUACCCGGGUAGUCCACGCCGUAAACGAUGAAUGCUAAUUGUCUGGGGUAUCAACCCCUUGGGUAAUAAAGCUAACGCGUUAAGCAUUCCGCCUGUGGAGUACGGCCGCAAGGCUAAAACAUAAAGGAAUUGACGGGGACCCGCACAAGCGGUGGAGGAUGUUCUUUAAUUCGAUGAUAGCGAAGAACCUUACCAGGACUUGACAUCCCUUUGAAUUUCUCC